GGCCGUAUAGCUUAGUGGUAUAGCGUGGACUGUUGCUAAGCUCUCAAAUUUAGUCCCUGACAUGGGUUCGAACCCCACUGUGGCCU